rnacentral:rRNA from 1 species
CCUACGGGAGGCAGCAGUGGGGAAUAUUGGACAAUUGGCGAAAGCCUGAUCCAGCCAUGCCGCGUGUGUGAAGAAGGCCUUCGGGUUGUAAAGCACUUUCAGUGGGGAAGAAAGCCUUGGGGCUAAUACCCUCGAGGAAGGACAUCACCCACAGAAGAAGCACCGGCUAACUCCGUGCCAGCAGCCGCGGUAAUACGGAGGGUGCGAGCGUUAAUCGGAAUUACUGGGCGUAAAGCGCGCGUAGGCGGUCUGAUAAGCCGGUUGUGAAAGCCCCGGGCUCAACCUGGGAACGGCAUCCGGAACUGUCAGGCUAGAGUGCAGGAGAGGAAGGUAGAAUUCCCGGUGUAGCGGUGAAAUGCGUAGAGAUCGGGAGGAAUACCAGUGGCGAAGGCGGUCUUCUGGACUGACACUGACGCUGAGGUGCGAAAGCGUGGGUAGCAAACAGGAUUAGAUACCCGAGUAGUC